UUUCGGGGGUACACGAGCGGCGAACGGGUGAGUAACACGUGGGUGACCUGCCCUCCACUCUGGGAUAAGCCCGGGAAACUGGGUCUAAUACCGGAUAGGACCACUGAUCGCAUGGUUGGUGGUGGAAAGUUUUUUCGGUGGGGGAUGGGCCCGCGGCCUAUCAGCUUGUUGGUGGGGUGAUGGCCUACCAAGGCGGUGACGGGUAGCCGGCCUGAGAGGGCGACCGGCCACACUGGGACUGAGACACGGCCCAGACUCCUACGGGAGGCAGCAGUGGGGAAUAUUGCGCAAUGGGCGGAAGCCUGACGCAGCGACGCCGCGUGGGGGAUGACGGCCUUCGGGUUGUAAACCUCUUUCGCCAGGGACGAAGAGCAAUUGACGGUACCUGGAGAAGAAGCACCGGCCAACUACGUGCCAGCAGCCGCGGUAACACGUAGGGUGCGAGCGUUGUCCGGAAUUAUUGGGCGUAAAGAGCUCGUAGGCGGUGUGUCGCGUCGGCCGUGAAAACUUGGGGCUUAACUCUGAGCGUGCGGUCGAUACGGGCAUCACUUGAGUUCGGCAGGGGAGACUGGAAUUCCUGGUGUAGCGGUGAAAUGCGCAGAUAUCAGGAGGAACACCGGUGGCGAAGGCGGGUCUCUGGGCCGAUACUGACGCUGAGGAGCGAAAGCGUGGGGAGCGAACAGGAUUAGAUACCCUGGUAGUCCACGCCGU
rnacentral:rRNA from 1 species